rnacentral:misc_RNA from 1 species
CAGCAGCAGCAGCAGCAGAAGAAGCAGGAGAGAGAGAGAUGGAUAAUUGAAGUAAAUGAGAUUGUCACCAAGGAAGAAAGGGUUGAGGCCGCUGUUGAGGUAUUUUCUUUCAGCUUUUAAAAUGAAAUGGUCACUAUCUACAAAGCAAUUAGUAGAUGUGGAUGUGUUGGGUUGGAACAUUUCUGUAUUCUAACCAUAUCAAUAUCAUGUACCUAAUGGACUUAGGUUAUUAUUAUAGUUUUGUGAAAUAAUUCACUGUGUACCCUCUUAUAUAUCCUAAAGAUAUUUUUAAAUUUAUG